GGGAUAUAGCUCAGUGGUGCAGCACCUGCCUGGCAAGCAAGAAGUCCUGAGUUCAAUUCCCAGUACCCA
rnacentral:tRNA from 1 species